rnacentral:rRNA from 1 species
UACGUAGGGCGCAAGCGUUGUCCGGAAUUAUUGGGCGUAAAGAGCUCGUAGGCGGUUUGUCGCGUCUGCUGUGAAAACUGGGGGGCUCAACUCCCAGCCUGCAGUGGGUACGGGCAGACUAGAGUGCGGUAGGGGAGAUUGGAAUUCCUGGUGUAGCGGUGGAAUGCGCAGAUAUCAGGAGGAACACCGAUGGCGAAGGCAGAUCUCUGGGCCGUAACUGACGCUGAGGAGCGAAAGCAUGGGGGAGCGAACAGG